rnacentral:rRNA from 1 species
GUUGGCUUAGAAGCAGCCAUACAUUUAAAGAGUGCGUAAUAGCUCACUAGUCGAGUGAUGUUGCGCCGAAGAUAAACGGGGCUAAAACUUACCACCGAAGCUUUGGAAUUAGGAAUAAUUGGUAGAGGAGCAUUCUAUACGGGUAGAAGUUGAGCUGAAAGGCGAGGUGGACUGUAUAGAAGAGAGAAUGUUGGCAUGAGUAGCGUAAGGCGGGUGAGAAUCCCGUCCGCCGAAAAUCUAAGGUUUCCUGAGGAAGGUUCGUCCUCUCAGGGUUAGUCGGGGCCUAAGCCGAGAGCGAAAGCUGUAGGCGAUGGACAACAGGUAGAAAUUCCUGUACCACCGAGGAUUGCAUGAAUGAAGUGGGGACACAGAAGGAUAGGUUGAGCACGCCGUUGGUCGAGCGUGUCUAAGCAGAGAGGCUAAUAUGUAGGCAAAUCCGCAUAUUGAAAGGCUGGUCUGUUAUGGGGAGUCGAUAGAGACGAAGCAACUGAUUUCACGCUGUCAAGAAAAGCCGCUAAUUAGAUCCAAGGUGCCCGUACCGCAAACCGACACAGGUAGAUGAGGAGAGAAUCCUAAGGUGAGCGAGCGAACUAUUGUUAAGGAACUCGGCAAAAUAACCUCGUAACUUCGGGAGAAGGGGUGCCUGCUAACGCAGGCCGCAGAGAAUAGGUCCAGGCAACUGUUUACCAAAAACACAGGUCUCUGCUAAAUCGAAAGAUGAAGUAUAGGGGCUGACGCCUGCCCGGUGCCGGAAGGUCAAGGGGAAGUGUUAGAGCAAUCGAAGCACAGAACUUAAGCCCCGGUAAACGGCGGCCGUAACUAUAACGGUCCUAAGGUAGCGAAAUUCCUUGUCGGGUAAGUUCCGACCCGCACGAAAGGCGUAAUGAUCUGGACACUGUCUCAACAAUAGGCUCGGUGAAAUUGAAAUAUCGGUAAAGAUGCCGAUUACCCGCAGCAGGACGGAAAGACCCCGUGGAGCUUUACUGUAGCUUGAUAUUGAGUUUCGGCAUUGCACGUACAGGAUAGGUGGGAGACUGAGAGAUAUGUACGCCAGUAUAUAAGGAGUCACCGUUGGGAUACCACCCUUGUAAUGUUGGAAUUCUAACCUGGUACCGUUAACCGGUAUGGGGACAGUGUCUGGUGGGCAGUUUGACUGGGGCGGUCGCCUCCUAAAGAGUAACGGAGGCGCCCAAAGGUUCCCUCAGAAUGGUUGGAAAUCAUUCGUAGAGUGCAAAGGCAUAAGGGAGCUUGACUGCGAGACCUACAAGUCGAGCAGGGACGAAAGUCGGGCUUAGUGAUCCGGUGGUUCCGCAUGGAAGGGCCAUCGCUCAACGGAUAAAAGCUACCCUGGGGAUAACAGGCUUAUC